AAUCGAAUAGCUUAAAUUUAAAGCAUAAAAUUUUUAAUUUUAAGAUGAUUUAUUUUUCGAUUA
rnacentral:tRNA from 1 species